rnacentral:rRNA from 1 species
GUGUCAGCAGCCGCGGUAAUACAGGGGGUGCUAGCGUUGUUCGGAAUUACUGGGCGUAAAGGGCGCGUAGGCGGUUUUACAAGUCAGGAGUGAAAUCCCGGGGCUUAACCUCGGAAUUGCUUUUGAAACUGUAAGGCUAGAGCGUAUUAGAGGAUGGCGGAAUUCCUAGUGUAGAGGUGAAAUUCGUAGAUAUUAGGAAGAACACCGGUGGCGAAGGCGGCCAUCUGGGAUACAACUGACGCUGAGGCGCGAAAGCGUGGGGAUCAAACAGGAUUAGAAACCCUUGUAGUCC